UACACCCUGUAUAUUGAGCUGUUUUAAAAUUUAUUAGAAUUUAGUUAGGAUGUAAAUAGAUUUCUCUUUUAACGAGCUUUCCGAGGAACCAUUAAAGACUUUUGUGAAUAAUUAAAGUGAAAAGAACUAUGUAUUUAGAUUUAAAAUGGAAAAAAUUGUUUACUGUAUAGGUAAUUAUCAAUUUCUCGAAAUUGAUAAUUGAAAAGAAAGUUGGAAUUUUAAUAUCUUCAUUUCAAUACGAGUAUAUGUGGGAGAGUUUCUCCGAAAGUAAUUAGGACUGUCGGAACAAAUUUGAGGGUGACUGUUGUUUGUCAAAUGGAAAAGUCAAUGUUCUGAUUCUUGGAAUGUGGAAGGGGAAAAGAUGGAUUGGAUGAUUGAGAGAGGUUGAAAAAUUAUUAUUAUGUUGUUGGCAGCGAGAAGGAGCGGUUUUCGACGAGUUAAGUGGAGAGAUAGUUAGCAUAUAUCAGUGGCUGGUUGAUAGUGGAGAAUAGUGUUGAAAAGUGGAACGAGAGACAGAUCAAAUCGAGACGAAAUACCUCUUUGAUUCUGUAUUAUUGUGAGAAGGAGAGCAGAGAAUUUUUGGAGUUUUGUUUGAAUCGAGAACGUGUCAAAGAGACACGGUUUGUUGGAGAAUUAGUGCUGGUAUGCUGAUAGUUUUGAAGCUGGACAACGGAGAGAGGCUUUGAUGAGUAGCCUUUAACAUAAUCAACGAGGGAGAGCUGUUUGGGGUCACGAGAAGACAUCCGAGUGAGGGAAGCAAAAGGUCAGUCAAUUUAUGUGAAAGAGAUUUUUAUGUUCGGGAAAUAAAUUUUUGAGUAAAAAGCAUAUGAAUUAAAAUUCCAAUAUUUCAAAAUAUAAAUAGUAAAUAUAGGUAAUCUUGCGAAGACAUAAAUUUGUUUGGUUUAUUUGUUUUACCAAAGUCAUCGGGAACAAACCGAUAAAUUGUUUUUUUGUAACGAUAAUAAAUUUAAGUGGUAUAAAUUUCAUUCGGACAUCUGUGUCCACAGGUUUUUAGAUACGAUAGAUUUCAGAGUAUUAAUUUGAUAAAUAAAAGACAAUUCUGUAUUUUUA